UUUAAGAGAGAGUUUAGAAGGAAGAAGAAGAGGAAUUUUACUAGAAUUUUGAGGUUGAAGAAGAGAAGGAGAACUCAAGCAAAGUGUAUCCAUGGCUGAAUCUUGGUUCAUUCUGCACAUCACUGGUUUUUAAUUCGUUUUGAACUCUUUAAAAGAAAUUAAGAGAGUGUACUGGUGGAUUUAGGAUCUCUAUUUGGGACAAUUUAAAGAGGUUGUGUGCGCGUGAUUCUUGAAGUUGUUCUGUUUCGAGGGUUAUCUGAGUUUAUUCAUAGGGAAUCAGAUUUACAUGUCUUCAGGUAGAGAUCGAGUUUCCGGUGCCUGAUAAACUGCCUUAGUCUGCUGAAGCUCCGUUAUCGAUUGUCAGUACGUGUUUCGAGUUGGGCAUAGAGUCUGUUGUGUUAUGAUGUAUAUACACCCUUGUAUGUCAUAGAUACUCCACAGUUUGUAUAAGCUUUAGGAGUUGCAGUUGUGUAAAUUUUUGUUGGUUAUAUUUUGAUUAAGGUGUCUUUAGGUUUACUC